rnacentral:rRNA from 1 species
CCUACGGGAGGCAGCAGUGAGGAAUAUUGGUCAAUGGGCGAGAGCCUGAACCAGCCAAGUCGCGUGAGGGAGUACUGCCCCAUGGGUUGUAAACCUCUUUUGUCGGGGAGCAAAAGCCGGACGUGUCCGGCUGUGAGAGUACCUGAAGAAAAAGCAUCGGCGAACUCCGUGCCAGCAGCCGCGGUAAUACGGAGGAUGCGAGCGUUAUCCGGAUUUAUUGGGUUUAAAGGGUGCGCAGGCGGAUUUUUAAGUCAGCGGUAAAAUCGUGGGGCUCAACCCCAUCCAGCCGUUGAAACUGGGGGUCUAGAGAGUGCGAGAGGUAUGCGGAAUGCGUGGUGUAGCGGUGAAAUGCAUAGAUAUCGCGCAGAACCCCGAUUGCGAAGGCAGCAUACCGGUGCACAACUGACGCUCAGGCACGAAAGCGUGGGUAUCGAACAGGAUUAGAUACCCGUAUAGUC